CUUACCAUGCAGUCGAGCGGGCAUAGCAAUAUGUCAGCGGCAGACGGGUGAGUAACGCGUGGGAACGUACCUUUUGGUUCGGAACAACACAGGGAAACUUGUGCUAAUACCGGAUAAGCCCUUACGGGGAAAGAUUUAUCGCCCAAAGAUCGGCCCGCGUCUGAUUUCUAGUUGGUGAGGUAAUGGCUCACCAAGGCGACGA
rnacentral:rRNA from 1 species